GAUGAACGCUGGCGGCGUGCCUAAUACAUGCAAGUCGAGCGAACGGACGAGAAGCUUGCUUCUCUGAUGUUAGCGGCGGACGGGUGAGUAACACGUGGAUAACCUACCUAUAAGACUGGGAUAACUUCGGGAAACCGGAGCUAAUACCGGAUAAUAUUUUGAACCGCAUGGUUCAAAAGUGAAAGACGGUCUUGCUGUCACUUAUAGAUGGAUCCGCGCUGCAUUAGCUAGUUGGUAAGGUAACGGCUUACCAAGGCAACGAUGCAUAGCCGACCUGAGAGGGUGAUCGGCCACACUGGAACUGAGACACGGUCCAGACUCCUACGGGAGGCAGCAGUAGGGAAUCUUCCGCAAUGGGCGAAAGCCUGACGGAGCAACGCCGCGUGAGUGAUGAAGGUCUUCGGAUCGUAAAACUCUGUUAUUAGGGAAGAACAUAUGUGUAAGUAACUGUGCACAUCUUGACGGUACCUAAUCAGAAAGCCACGGCUAACUACGUGCCAGCAGCCGCGGUAAUACGUAGGUGGCAAGCGUUAUCCGGAAUUAUUGGGCGUAAAGCGCGCGUAGGCGGUUUUUUAAGUCUGAUGUGAAAGCCCACGGCUCAACCGUGGAGGGUCAUUGGAAACUGGAAAACUUGAGUGCAGAAGAGGAAAGUGGAAUUCCAUGUGUAGCGGUGAAAUGCGCAGAGAUAUGGAGGAACACCAGUGGCGAAGGCGACUUUCUGGUCUGUAACUGACGCUGAUGUGCGAAAGCGUGGGGAUCAAACAGGAUUAGAUACCCUGGUAGUCCACGCCGUAAACGAUGAGUGCUAAGUGUUAGGGGGUUUCCGCCCCUUAGUGCUGCAGCUAACGCAUUAAGCACUCCGCCUGGGGAGUACGACCGCAAGGUUGGAACUCAAAGGAAUUGACGGGGACCCGCACAAGCGGUGGAGCAUGUGGUUUAAUUCGAAGCAACGCGAGGAACCUUACCAAAUCUUGACAUCCUUUGACAACUCUAGAGAUAGAGCCUUCCCCUUCGGGGGACAAAGUGACAGGUGGUGCAUGGUUGUCGUCAGCUCGUGUCGUGAGAUGUUGGGUUAAGUCCCGCAACGAGCGCAACCCUUAAGCUUAGUUGCCAUCAUUAAGUUGGGCACUCUAAGUUGACUGCCGGUGACAAACCGGAGGAAGGUGGGGAUGACGUCAAAUCAUCAUGCCCCUUAUGAUUUGGGCUACACACGUGCUACAAUGGACAAUACAAAGGGCAGCGAAACCGCGAGGUCAAGCAAAUCCCAUAAAGUUGUUCUCAGUUCGGAUUGUAGUCUGCAACUCGACUACAUGAAGCUGGAAUCGCUAGUAAUCGUAGAUCAGCAUGCUACGGUGAAUACGUUCCCGGGUCU
rnacentral:rRNA from 1 species